rnacentral:lncRNA from 1 species
AAGUUCUACUACAUUAUGUACAUUACACUAGGACAGGGCACAUGCUAUGGCCUAUGGUGAUUAAGCACCAACCAAACCUUACUUACCAGUCUUACCAAUACCACAGUAUCUAGAGACGAUAAAGAUCACAUAUGGCGGUCUGCACCCCCAGUACACAUAUGACAUAACCCUUAAUUUCGUUCACGAUUUGCUGCUGCUCGUUGAUGGUUGGCCUUGCAGUUUGUGCGUGAAGAAACAGGAAGGUACGUUAUUAGGCCGAGUGGGUUGGGGCUGCUGACGACGCUCGUUGGGAGGUCCUUAUAUUGUAUCGCUCGUAAACCUUCUCGCGGUUCUCUUUCCACCAAUUCUCAGCCUGAUGCUCCCCAAAGCGCCUUUUGCUGCAAAUUAGAAAUAUUUCAAAGAAGGGAGGAUGUCAACGCUAUUAAUAUUUUGCAAUGAAAUAUAGGCUUGUCACUUGUCAGUAGAGCAGAAGCUCAGCUACAGACCGAAACAGAAGUGUGAGACAGUGUUUAAUGUGAACAAGAUAACCUGGAGUUCUCCUUUUCCGUAGUGUUUAAUGUGGAAAAAAAAAGUGCUCUAAAUAUGAUUAUAAACUAAAUGAACUGUCAGACCUCUUGUUGCAUAUGAACUCGCGGGACGGUAAAAUAUUGUCCAAUGACUAAUCAAGCAACUAGCAUAUUGCAAUCAUGAAUAUUCAGUGAGUUGUUUGCAUGUGCAAAUUACAAAGCUAACUUGGGGGUAGAAAGCAUGACAGGAAAUAGCUUAAUCACCUGAACCGAACCCUCUUCAGCUCUCGGGUGCCGUCACCGAGGUCCUUCAGCUUCAUGAAAACACCUGCUUCAUACUCUUCCAGCCAUUCAUCAUGCAAGCGCCUGGCAGCGCCGUUGCCGUUCACGCUAGAGUGGGCAGCAACACGUGGCUCGGCGCCGCUUGGAGCAUGCAUUGUUCCAUCCAUACUGCCUGUACUGCUAACUGAUGAUGGAACAAGGCUAUCAAGGCUAGCUAUUGUAGGAAACUUAAUUUGCUGGACAAGGAAAAAAAAUCUGAAAUUAAGCAGAGCAUCACAUCUACAACAUUAUCUUGGCCCGAUCUGAACAUAUGAAGGCCCAAUUUUGUGCAAUCAAUUGGCCCGAUCGACUUGAGACAAUUCAAUCCGGGAAGAUUGCGCUGUCCGUCACCGACGAGCAAGAAUCGCCGACGCGAAACAGACAGAAAUGGUAUACCUUGAGAUGUCGCUGCUGCUGCUCCUCCGCCGAGCUCAGCUGCUCCCGAUCUGGGACAAGGAGGAGACGAGAGGGCGCGGCAGCGCCGGAUCAGAGGUGGGGGGGAGCCGGUGGCUCUGGCGGUGGCGCCGCCGGCGGGUGGGGCGAGAGGGGAUCGAGCGAGGGUUUGGAUGGGUUUUGAUUGGAUAGGGAGGAAAUUUACAGAAAGCCACCGCAUUUGCUAGGUUGUCAAAUAACCACCGUUUUCAUCAAAAAAAAGUUGAGAGGCGUUUUUAACAUUUUUUAUCAAACCCAUCACUCCAGGAUAGUAUUGUACUCUCAAUAUAUGAUCUUUUAGAUCACUACUAUUAUUUUAGCUGGACAUUUAGAGUUCCAGACAGCCUGCCCCAAACUUGUUUAGGACUAAAGGCUUUGUUGUUGUUGUUGUUGUUGUUGUUGUUGUUGGACAUUUAGAAUUUCAAACGACACAAGGGGUGGAAUUUUAACUCGAAACUCAUGAGCUAAACGAGUAGCUCGUGACUCGGCUCGAACUCGAUGACUAACGAGUCGAGACGAAUUUUAAUCUGAGCUGGUUAACAAAAUAAGUUUAACAAGCCGAGCUAACCAGGUAAUCGUUUAGCCCAUUAAUUAUGCUCGUUAAUCAGAAGGGACGUGAGAUAAGUAUCAAUAUAGUUGUAGAUUACUGUCAUUUAUGGCGUGUACAAAGUGUUUCUUUAGUGUAAAUUGUUGGUUGUUGUGAAUUGUGAAGAAAGUUCUAUGUCUAUAAAUAUAUUCUUGUAGAUUAGUUGCAUACAUAAUAUGUAUAUUUUGUUAUUCAUGUCCUUACAUGAGUCGAGUUGAGUUUAAAUCUAAGUUCAUCAUGUUAACGAGUCGAGCUGAGCUAACUCGUUAUCUUAACGAGGUCUAACGAGUCGAGCCCACCCCUAGAUGACGCUUUUAAACAUUUUUUCUUCGGUUUGAUUCUUCGGUUGGUAAUUAAUUAUCAACUUUCUCCCUACGGAAAAAAUAGUUAUCAACUUCCAACGUGAACCUUCUUAGAAUUUUAUUGUAGGAUUUUUCAAGUGCAGCGUUUUGAUGCUCAGCCUACAUGGAGACAAUUAUUUGAAACAUUUGAAAUACACGUUUCAAAGUUUCAAAAAAAUUCCGUUGCUCAAAAAAAAGUUUCGAAAAAUUCUGAAAAAGAUGUGCAUUGACAUAGGCAUGCGUACUACACCUGUGUAAAGUUUCAUGAGAAAAUACAUUGAUUCAUGAACUACAUCUAUACCUACCUAAUAAUAAAGAGUUAUUGCUUGUGGCGGUACGUCACCGAAAUUGCCCCCAAAGUUACAAAAUAUUACCCAACGCUGCCAUCUAUAAGUGAUAAAAAAAACAUUUCACACAAGGGAAUCACUGCGCUCUGUGCGCUGGGACAAGACACAAUGUGCCUGUUUGGGCCGAACCAUGUCCGGGCGGCCUGUUUUCUAAAUUUUGCUUUCCUUUUCCGUAUUCAUUUUUUCUACUUCAAAUAAUUUGGGCUUAAAAAGAGUUUCCAAAAUUAAGAAAAAACUGUGAAUUUUGAAAUAAUCUUUUAAUAAUUCAUAAAUAUUUUUUGAUUCAGACAAUGUUCGUGAUUUAUAAAAAAUGUUCACAUAUACAAAAAGUUUUCGCAAUUUUGAAAACAAAUGUUUGGGAAAUCCAAAAAUAUUUAUGAUUUUAUUGAAAGUUCGUGUAUUAAAAAAUGUUUAUGAAAUUGAAAAAAUUUCGCCAAUUCAAAAAAUGUUCAUGAAUUGAAAAUUAUCCUGAAAAUUAAAAAACUGUUCAUGGCUUACAAAAUAGUUUAUUGGUUCAUAAAAUGUUCGCAUAUUCAAAAUUGAUCACGCGUUUUGAAAAAUGGCCGUUAAAUCAAAAAAAUCGUGAAUUUCAAUAAUUGUCCCACCAAUUUGCAAAAACAAAUGUUCGAUGAUUCUAGAAAUGUUUCCCUAUUCAGGAAAAAUGUUUUUUCAAAUGUUCAGAAUUUUAAAAUAAUGUUUGAAAAUUGUACAAAAUGUCCAUGAAUUUAUUUUUUUCAUGAUUUUAGAAAAUGUGCGAAAAUCUGUAAAGAUGUUCAUAAAUUUAAAAAAAAUCACGAGUUUAGUUUAUUUCAUGAUUUUUAAAAAUUGUUCACAAUUUUACGAAAAUGGACUGAUAGUGUAUCUCGGUCAUGCAGCAAAAUAUGGUCAUGGCCAUUGGAAAUUAUGUUUUUUUUUCUCCCGUUGCAACACACGGGCCGUUUUGCUAGUAAAAAAGUGAAAACCAAUUGUUUUAUAUUGUGAACAGUCCAUGCAUUGUUCACUGUUUUCCGUGUCAGAGAUUUAUCUUUUUUCUUUAGCUAACGAACCAAUGUAUUUCGUCAUGAAUUGCAAGCAUGCAGUAUACAUCCGGAUUAUACCAUGCUCGGGCUCCAAAACGAAUUAUAUCGCCCCUUUUUUCUAAGAAAGAAAGAAAGGUUAACCCGCCAUCUGCAUUUUUUUAAGAUGAACCUGGCCUCUGCAUCGUGAGAUGGGCACAUCCAUGUAUUGCUUUUUUUAGAAGAGAGAAUGGAAGAAAAGGAGAAUUGUCUUGGUGAAAAGAUGAUCUCUCAGCAUGUCGGAGAAGAAUUUUUCCUCCAUUACAAUAGAUGUCACAACUAAAUAUUCUUUGCUAGAGAUAAUGCCCUUAGAUAAUUCAUUUUAUAGCACGCUUCUUACCGUGAAAAAGCUCAUAGAUCCUAGCCUCCAAAGGUUUUUGAAACCAACAUAUCUAAGUUUAUAAUUUCCUAAAAGAAAUUCUUCAUGUGCACAUAGUUGUGAACUACCUGUUUGUAAACUUCAAUAAAACAAUAUAUUCAUUUGUACACUAUAAAGACAGAUAUGUGGAUAUAAAAUAGUCUAAUAUUCUUUUUUGAGGAAAAAUAGUCUACUAUAUUUAUCCGACUAAGCCCGCAAGUCAAACUAUUUAUCCGUGGCAUAUAGAGCACAUAGAUACUACUAUAUUUAUCCGACUAAAAAAACUAUAUUCAACCUCAAUUUUUUUAAUAAUGUUUGAAAUUAUAAGUAAGACGUCUUAUUUAUUUACAAAUACCAGACUCGCUAUAGCCUAAGGGCAGAAUGUAUGUUCUCAUUUCUAUUACCACCUCUAAUCAUAUGGAAGGCUAAAGAUAACAUUGAGAAAUUAUCAUGGCAACUGAUUGUGUGUAGCACCUUAAGAGGCUGUCUAGAAUGACUUUAAAAUUAGUGUGGUCACUUGCAACCACUCGAAUGAGGCCUAAUUUGUGGAAGAUAUAUAUCCAAGUACAAUUGCAGGACACAAGUUCUUAUGUAAAAAAUAAUCAUACUGAGGAAAAGGAUAAAAAAACUGGAAGAGAAAAAACCCUUCACCUAGCUACAAUGGCUAGUGUGAUCUAUAACAUGGUAAAGGUACCAUGCCCUAUUUGUUUGAUCAUGUCCAUGUAUGUACAUUACACUGGGAUAGGGCCCAUGCUACAGCCUCAGGCGAUUCAACACCAACCAAAAACUUGACUUAUCAUCCUAUCCAUAUUACAGUAUGAAAAGACGAUAAAAAUUGCAGUGGCGAUCGCAUAUGGCGCUCUCAAGCCCGGUAUGUAUGACCACAGUUUUGUUGAUAAUUUGCUGUUGUUGGUCUAUCUUGCAGUUUGUGUGUGAAGAAACAGGUGCCGGCGUGCAACAGGUCAUCCACAGGUAAGCUAAUAGGCCGACCGGGUCGAGGCUGCUGACGAGACCCGUUCGGAGCUCCUCACGUUGUAUUUCUCGUACACUUUCUCGCGGUUCUCGUUCCACCAAUUU